rnacentral:rRNA from 1 species
CAGUCGACGGUGAAGCAGGAGCUUGCUCUUGUGGAUCAGUGGCGAACGGGUGAGUAACACGUGAGCAACCUGCCCCUGACUCUGGGAUAAGCGCUGGAAACGGCGUCUAAUACUGGAUAUGUGACGUGACCGCAUGGUCUGCGUUUGGAAAGAUUUUUCGGUUGGGGAUGGGCUCGCGGCCUAUCAGCUUGUUGGUGAGGUAAUGGCUCACCAAGGCGUCGACGGGUAGCCGGCCUGAGAGGGUGACCGGCCACACUGGGACUGAGACACGGCCCAGACUCCUACGGGAGGCAGCAGUGGGGAAUAUUGCACAAUGGGCGAAAGCCUGAUGCAGCAACGCCGCGUGAGGGAUGACGGCCUUCGGGUUGUAAACCUCUUUUAGCAGGGAAGAAGCGAAAGUGACGGUACCUGCAGAAAAAGCGCCGGCUAACUACGUGCCAGCAGCCGCGGUAAUACGUAGGGCGCAAGCGUUAUCCGGAAUUAUUGGGCGUAAAGAGCUCGUAGGCGGUUUGUCGCGUCUGCUGUGAAAUCCCGAGGCUCAACCUCGGGCCUGCAGUGGGUACGGGCAGACUAGAGUGCGGUAGGGGAGAUUGGAAUUCCUGGUGUAGCGGUGGAAUGCGCAGAUAUCAGGAGGAACACCGAUGGCGAAGGCAGAUCUCUGGGCCGUAACUGACGCUGAGGAGCGAAAGGGUGGGGAGCAAACAGGCUUAGAUACCCUGGUAGUCCACCCCGUAAACGUUGGGAACUAGUUGUGGGGUCCAUUCCACGGAUUCCGUGACGCAGCUAACGCAUUAGGUUCCCCGCCUGGGGAGUACGGCCGCAAGGCUAAAACUCAAAGGAAUUGACGG